rnacentral:rRNA from 1 species
GACGAACGCUGGCGGCGUGCUUAACACAUGCAAGUCGAACGGAAAGGCCCUGCUUUUGUGGGGUGCUCGAGUGGCGAACGGGUGAGUAACACGUGAGUAACCUGCCCUUGACUUUGGGAUAACUUCAGGAAACUGGGGCUAAUACCGGAUAGGAGCUCCUGCUGGAUGGUGGGGGUUGGAAAGUUUCGGCGGUUGGGGAUGGACUCGCGGCUUAUCAGCUUGUUGGUGGGGUAGUGGCUUACCCAGGCUUUGACGGGUAGCCGGCAUGAGAGGGUGACCGGCCACAUUGGGACUGAGAUACGGCCCAGACUCCUACGGGAGGCAGCAGUGGGGAAUAUUGCACAAUGGGCGGAAGCCUGAUGCAGCAACGCCGCGUGCGGGAUGACGGCCUUCGGGUUGUAAACCGCUUUCGCCUGUGACGAAGCGUGAGUGACGGUAAUGGGUAAAGAAGCACCGGCUAACUACGUG